GAUGAACGCUGGCGGCGUGCCUAAUACAUGCAAGUCGAGCGAACAGACGAGGAGCUUGCUCCUCUGACGUUAGCGGCGGACGGGUGAGUAACACGUGGAUAACCUACCUAUAAGACUGGGAUAACUUCGGGAAACCGGAGCUAAUACCGGAUAAUAUAUUGAACCGCAUGGUUCAAUAGUGAAAGACGGUUUUGCUGUCACUUAUAGAUGGAUCCGCGCCGGAUUAGCUAGUUGGUAAGGUAACGGCUUACCAAGGCAACGAUGCGUAGCCGACCUGAGAGGGUGAUCGGCCACACUGGAACUGAGACACGGUCCAGACUCCUACGGGAGGCAGCAGUAGGGAAUCUUCCGCAAUGGGCGAAAGCCUGACGGAGCAACGCCGCGUGAGUGAUGAAGGUCUUCGGAUCGUAAAACUCUGUUAUUAGGGAAGAACAAAUGUGUAAGUAACUAUGCACGUCUUGACGGUACCUGAUCAGAAAGCCACGGCUAACUACGUG
rnacentral:rRNA from 1 species